rnacentral:rRNA from 1 species
UGGGGAAUAUUGCACAAUGGGCGCAAGCCUGAUGCAGCCAUGCCGCGUGUAUGAAGAAGGCCUUCGGGUUGUAAAGUACUUUCAGCGGGGAGGAAGGGUGUAAAGUUAAUACCUUCGCUCUUUUACGUGACCCGCAGAAGAAGCACCGUCUAACUCCGUGCCAGCAGCCGCGUUAAUACGGAGGGUGCAAGCGUUAAUCGGAAUUACUGGGCGUAAAGCGCACGCAGGCGGAUUGUUAAGUCAGAUGUGAAAUCCCCGGGCUCAACCGGGGAACUGCAUCUGAUACUGGCAAGCUUGAGUAUCGUAGAGGGGGGUAGAAUUCAAGGUGUAGCGGUGAAAUGCGUAGAGAUCUGGAGGAAUACCGGUGGCGAAGGCGGCCCCCUGGACGAAGACUGACGCUCAGGUGCGAAAGCGUGGGGAGCAAACAGG